rnacentral:rRNA from 1 species
CAGUCGCCACGGGAAUACGUAGGUGGCAAGCGUUAUCCGGAAUUAUUGGGCGUAAAGCGCGCGUAGGCGGUUUUUUAAGUCUGAUGUGAAAGCCCACGGCUCAACCGUGGAGGGUCAUUGGAAACUGGAAAACUUGAGUGCAGAAGAGGAAAGUGGAAUUCCAUGUGUAGCGGUGAAAUGCGCAGAGAUAUGGAGGAACACCAGUGGCGAAGGCGACUUUCUGGUCUGUAACUGACGCUGAUGUGCGAAAGCGUGGGGAUCAAACAGGAUUAGAGACCCCAGUAGUCCCUGUCUCUUAUAC